UAAAUGAAAAAAGAAAGAUGUUGAGUGUUU
rnacentral:piRNA from 1 species